rnacentral:rRNA from 1 species
CUGGAAUUGCUAGUAAUCACAGGUCAGCAUACUGUGGUGAAUACGUUCCCGGGCCUUGUACACACCGCCCGUCACACCAUGAGAGUUGAGAAUACCCGAAGCCCAUGUCAAAGUGGUCGAAGGUAGGCUUGAUGAUUGGGGUGAAGUCGUAACAAGGUACC